CACCACACACACUCUCUCAUCACAGUGCACUCUCUUUUUCUUUUGGUCGAAUACUCUCUUUUCCUCUGUUCUCCUCUGUCUAGAAAUGGCGCAAUUUAGCAACUGCAAAGCUAUGUUCUUGAUGGUAAUAGCCAUGGUGCUUGUCUCAGUUACAGCUCAGGAUACUGCGCCGGCUCCAUCACCGGCAUUGGACGCUGGAGCUGGAACUCUGGUGACAAUUUCCAGCCUAUACAUAUACUCUCCGGUGCUCUUCUCUCUCUUUGCGCUGCUUAGGCAUUAGGGAGACUUGGACUGAGACUACUAUAUAAUUAUUAUGGUAUUUUUUGUAUUCUUUUCUGCAUGUAUUUGUUAUUUCUUAAUCUUCCUAAUCAUUGGUUAUGGAUGUUAUAUUGCCUCACUAUAAAAUUUAGUACAGUGCUUCAGUGUGAGUGUGUCAUUUUUAGCCUUUAUUAUUGCAUUUCUAACGCCCAUGGAUUCCAUAGCCUCGAAGAUGCAAGCAACCUAAACAAGGCUAAAUGCCAGUCAUUGAGUUUGAUUAACUACUUAAAAACAGCAUCCUACUUCAUUUCUAAGAGUCAAGGCAAUGGCCGUUGUCGGAAUGUGGAUUUUUCGGCAAAAUCACAUUUAAAACAACAUAAAGUAGCCUGUUGUAACUUGUAAAUCUGAAAUACUUAUGGAAGUUCAUAAAACUUGGUCACACCAAUAAUAAGUUAUCAUCUGCUGAGCAAAGAAACGAAAUGCUCAGGCAGAAAAGUUUGCUAAAAUUAGUGUUACAACCAAAACACAUCCACCACAAGAAUGCUAAAAUGAAUCAUCCUACGGUAUUGACACUGCCAUCAUUCUCAAUCAUAUGAGACCUCACUAAUUAAACAACUGGGGUUACAAGAGACGAUUCCAUUAGAGAAUGUCCAUCUGAAAUCAUCACUUUUUUGGGCAAUAAUGUCAAUAGUGAUGUGUAUACGAAUGGCAAUUCCAAACUUAGUUUACGGCUCUGUUUUGAGUUUCUGAAUAGGCCUACGUUUUGACUUCCAAACUUUUGACAUUGUUGAGUGUAGAAAGCUGGGCCCUGAAGAUGCAUUCAUACUUCAAAAGACCAAAACAUAAACCAAGAUAACAAAUUGUUCAGACAAUUCAUAACAAUCAGUGAUUCAUGUUAUUGAACACAAAAAAAGAAGAUCUCUCUGUUCUCAAUAAUUCGAAACAUCUCGAAUGUAAUUCUCAAAAUCAAAGCCAGAAACAAUAACUGGCAGCAUUGCCAUUCUCAAUUAAUGGCAUUAUUCAUCACUAAAUUGAUAUGAAACACUACAGAAUUCAUCAUGAAUGAGAUAUAUCACUCCAACAACAAAAUUGGAACUCAAAUUUCCAAACUUUUAUCUCUCUUCCUCAACACCAAUGCCUAUUUCCGCACGGUCACCUAAGCUUAAAUCAACUAUCCAAUUAUCCAAGUGUAACCCAUUUCUCCAAUCAACUAAUAUAUACUAACAAGAAUGAAAUAUCACCAAAACAGAUACAAAUUUUAGCUCUUACCCAUCCAUCUAUUCGCUUUUGGGGUUUUCAGACUCUCCACCACCUGCCCGACCGGCCUCGAGGAGCUUCUUGUUCUUCUCGAUCGCCUCAGCGACUUCACCGGGCAUGUACUUCUCGUCAUGCUUUGCUAAAACCUCCGUGGCGGCGAAAUAGCACUCGCCGCUCCUCGCCUUCUCCGAGACACUCUUCGUUGAAAUCUCCCUUCGAAUUUCAUCCGUAAAAGGCUUGACGAAGCCCUCGACCACAACCGAGUGACCCUCCCGAAACAAAUCAGGCAAGGAGCCUUUGUAUCGGACCAAUAUAUCGGUCAUCAAAUCGGUGACGACGAACUCCAUCUCGGGCGACGAGGCGGGCUGGAGCACGCUGCCUUCGAGGACCAGACCGCCGAUCCUGAACUUGCUCUUGCUAGGGUUUGCUGAGUAUUUCUCUAGAGCGUCGGUUGGGGUCACGUAGAAGACGAGCUGGUCUUGGAAGCUAUUGAGGACGAUGACAAUGAAGCCCGCGAUGCAGCUGAAGGUUAGUGCAUAGGUCCAAAGGCGUCGGGUUUGGAGCUGGCGCGCCCGGCCCGCGAUGUCGACGGGUUUGGGCCGGAUCGGGCCACGGCGAGAGGUGGAGAGGAAGCGGAGAGUGAACGGGAGGAGGAAAUUUGUUGAACGUUGGAGAUGGGGGUCGAAGAGUGGGGAGAAGAUCAACGGUGGAGAUUGGAUGAAGGGACGGGGGUGGAUGGGGGUUGUGAUGCGAAGGAGGUGGGAUUUGAGGCGGAGGGCGAUGCGAUUGGCCAUUGGGUUUUAGGGGGUGUUUUUAUUUCUCGGGAAAGUGAUGGAAAAGAGGGGUGAAAGUGGGGGGUUUGGAGAGGUAGUAGCAGCCCUCUCUCUGAAGAGAAGCUUCGAGUUAUUCGGCCACGGUAGAGUUGACGAGGGUUUUUCAGAAGGAUAUGAAGGGAAUUUGGAAAAUGUUAAUUCUUUUACGUUGGUUUUUUAUUUUUUAGAAUUAUAAACAAACCAAAAAAUAAAAAGAAAAAAAGAAAACAGCAUCUGUUCCACGAUGUGAAUAUAUAUAUAUAUUUUUUUUAUGAACACAAGUUUAGGAGAAGAGGAGGCUACUCUAUCUCAAAGUCAGGGCAUACUAAGGGCUCUUUGAGGACUUACAGAAGGUCUUAGCUCUUUUAUUUUUAUUUUUAUAGAUUACCUACCAAGAGAAUUAUCGACAACAUGACUCGAACUUAAGUUUGGAUAGCAAAAAGAAUGAUUGUUACUAACUCAAUCGACCUUUGUUGGCUUCUACAUUGUGAUAUUUUGAAUGAUCCACAUUAACCCAAAAUGUUGAUUAAAAAAAUUAACCUUAAAUUUAAAUUAGAAACUUUAUUGAAUUUCAACAUAGUUUGGAUUUAUUAAAUUGGAUUUAUGUUGGCGGUAUUGGAUGGGGAAUUUCAAUAUAAUUCCAACUUUAUUGAAAAUAGUUUGGAUUUAUGUUGGCAGUAUUUGAUGGAUGAUAUGUUCCAAUUUAUCAGUGAUUUUCUAUUUUUAAUGUGUGUGUGUGUGUGUUUUUUUUUUUGGUCGGAAUCAAGUUUCAUUGAUAGAAAGGCGAUGCCAAUUACAAGAUCGUGGAACUUAUAAAACUAAGUCCAAACAAAUGCAACAAUAAAAGCCCACUAGAAAUCAAACUCAAAGAGGCAUAAAGUCUACAAUUGGCAUAAAGCAAGAGCCCCGAACUGACAGAAAGUCAGAGUACAAAACUAGCAUAAAGCCAGAGCCAACCAAAAGCAAAAACACCACUAAACACCAAAGUAAUGCUACCGUUACUUCCAUGAAGACCGAGACAUCGCCACCAGGACUAGUGAUGAGUGAAAGAACUGCAAACACACCAAAACACAUAGAACAAAUACAAAAACUACAAAUCUGAAAAUCCCUCGCAAUACAUAAACCGACCAUCACAGACUCAAUAACUACUACAAAAAUGAAACCACCAAAGCACCAAGAGGGAAACAACAAUCAAUCCAAGAACAAACCCGGGAAAACACUUCCCAAAGCCAAAGAAACCAACAUCCUAAUCAAGGAAGGAAGUGGUAACAACCCAAGAAUGGAAGGAGGUGGUGCACACACCCGAGCAAAAGCUCUACACAUCUUCCGAAGGAGACAUGAAAAAUCGUGUUUGGAAUUAGUCUCUGCAGCCUAUGGGGGUUGAUAGAUCCAAAAGGGAGAUAGAGUUCUUGAAGAAGCCAUAUAAGAAGGGAGGAAUUUAAAGAGAGCUAGGAAAUAAUUUUUUUUUUUUUUUUUUAAAAAAGGGAAGAUAACUACUUAUAUCGAAAUUAACGACCAAUGGAGAUAAGACACGUGGACAAAAUAGGGCAUUGGUAGAGAAGCCCUCGGCACCCAAGCCUGCCGAUCAAGUGAUUAGGGCAAAAUCACCCUCUGGACACGUGGAGCAUCUACAGUGAAUGUCAACAAUCCCAAAUCGAAAUUCUAUACAAUAUGCACGCCUCUCAAGGCUUAUAAGAAGGGGCACAAGUUCUAAAAUGGAGGUAACUGAAACUUUUGGCAUACUAGUCAUCGCUCUGUCCAGAUUAUUUACUAAAUCCGUACUUACUUAAGUAUCGGAGAGCCUUCGGCCGGUACCACACCGGUGCCCUAGGUAUUAUCGAGCGUUUACUCCUAUCAAGGCUCAUGACAUUCCAAAGGUCCAGACAUCACCAAGUUGAGCCCAAAAGUGCCGAACCACUUUUUCGCAUCAACAAUAACAGAUUGGAAUGAAGAGGAAGAUGGAAUAUGGAAAUUAGAAAUUGAAAGGGGUAGUGACCACCUCCCCCCUUGCUGCGUUGAAAGAGGGUGCAGCUUAAUGUCUUAAUUGUGUCAAAUUUUGCAAUUUUUUGAUGAAAUUGGGGGUAAAACCUCAAGAAAUACAGAGCAAUUAACUAGAUCCAAAUUGUAGCACCACUGAACAAUACAAUUAGCAAACACGUAUCAAACUUUCCCAUAAACUCCCAGCAUAUUAUAGCUUGAAACCAAAGACGCCAUAGGAUGCGAACCAAGAGUAUAGAAUUCUGCAUCAACUGAACAGAUUACGAAUACCCCCAUAUUUGAGCCUCAAAUAUCUGACCUCUGCAGAAAUUAGCAGCAAACCCACAAGUCCAAUCAAUCCCCAAAGAAAUCAAGUAUAACUUCCCUGCACCAAUGCAUCCAAGAGCACUUUUUAUGCGCAAAUUUUGCACUUUUUAACCCCUCGCAACUUCUUUUUGAGCCACCCCAUUCUUGUUCAUAAUAAUAAUUCAUGCUUAAGGUUUCGGCCACCCAAUUGUUGUUCAUAAUAACUCAUGCUUAUUUAUAAUUUCAGUUUAAAGAACUACAUAAGGUGGUUAAGUUCCAUCAGCCUUAACAUUCAACAAAGUUCUAGGAAACAUUUCCAUGAUCAUACAGACAACAUCAUACACACAAGAUGUUACAAAUGGAUGUUUCUUGAUAGUCUCCAUCCUACAUCUCGAUCCUUUUGCAUACAGAGCUUGAUGCGAGAGGCUAACCAUGAGAGAAAUGGAGAGAAGCGCAAGAAGUUGCUAUUAUAAUCAAUAGUUCGUCUCCUUUUCCUAAUACAAUAAAUAGUGUCUACCGCUUUAAUUUUUGACAUCCAUUCUCAAUUUAAUUUUCUCCAAUGUCCCAAAUUAUUUCACAUGUUUCAAAUAAUCAAUUAAACCCAUAUGGAUUUUCCCCUUGCAACUUUAUCAAAUCAUUAGAAUUUUAUAUUGACAUAACAGAAAACAAUAUUUGAAAAUGAUAAUUUUCAUGUGCAAUGAUCAUACCCACAACAAGAGAAGAAUUAUAUAUACAUUUUGUUCACUGUCAAGGCUGUAUGGCAAUAUGCCCUGCAAAGAUUUGAAGUCUCUUUUUGGCAAAAGCUAGCCGAUGGACAACGAUUGGAUGCACUUACUUCAUUAAUUUUAUGAAUUUGCUCAGAAAGUUUGCUAAUAUAAUACAAGUAUUUGUAUUAUGUCCCAAAUCUCAGUCUGGAAGUUUUGAAGGUUUGGGAAGGAAGACUGAGCUAGCUAUUGUAAAGGAAUAUGUAUACCUCUCUCUCUCUGCACUUAAACCAUUGAGAAAGUAAGAUACAUUAUUUAGGGCACUUUAAUCUUUAAUUUUUGUCAUUUCAUGUUCCUGUGAUAAUUUGACAUAUCGAUUGAAGAUGCUCGUGAUGAAUUAUAUGCUUUGAUUUAUCUAGUAUUAACAAGAUGCACCUUACUUUUAGGUGGCCAAUAAGUCUGUAUUAUCUUCAACUUUUGAACGUUUGGAAAUGAAUAUUGAGCAAGCUAUUGGUGCUUACGACCUAACCCACGAUUAACUCGACUUAAAUAAGCUUUCGUGCACGAUUGCAAGCGCAUGCCACUCUCAACAUAAACCAUUGAGAAAGUAUAAAACAUUAUUUGAUCAAAAUCUUUUGUCAUACAUGACCUCAUUUCUUUUCUUGCAUCAACAUGCCAUGCUUGAUCAGACACAACCGGCUAGAAAAAAAAAAAAGUAUUAGCAACUCUAUAACGAUCCAUUUGAACAUACAUGUAAUAUAUAUAUACAUAUAUUUUGAAUACAAUUAAUAGUCUCAACUAUAAAGAUGAGGAAGUUUUUCACACACACUACUAAUAUGUUAUGGGAAUUCGAAUAUAAGACUUCUGGUGUGUAAGUCAAUAUCCUUUUUCAUUGAGCUAUAUCUAUAUAAACGCAUUUCAUGUCAAUGAUACAUUUAUAACUAAACUAAGUACAUUGCUUUAUACGUUAUUUACUUCUCUUUCUAGAGUUAUACUCCGAUACCGAAACAAUAUUGUUCUCAUAAGGGAAAUGAGUAUAGAAAAAUACAAAUGUAUAAUCGUAUAUUCUUUAUUUGCAAUUAAGAAAAUGAAGUUUUUGCAUUGAUAACUAUUAGAAAAGUCCUUAUGCACUCCUUGCUUAUCUCUAAUCAAAAGAAAACGGAUGAGGAAUGAAUUAAAAAGAAAAAAUAGACAAACAAGAAAUCAAUCAAGAAUGUCUAAUUUAUAGGCAUUGAUUCGUGGCUUGAAGCCGUUCGCUAUAGUAGCCUAAGCCUAGCCCCUAGAAAUACGAAGCACUUCCAUUGAAGUACGAUUAGGAUGAUGAUACAGGUUAGGUAUAGACUAAGACUGUAGAGAAAGAAACUCAUUGUUCUCUUCUCUUACAUUUUCUUUGGACCACCCUUACAAACAUCUCUUUCUUCCACUAUACAAAAUUGAAAAUUCCCUCUCUCUCCCUCUCUGUAUAUAUAUUUGGCUUUGAGUUCCCCGAUAGCUUAAACCAUUUCAGCUUCACUGUUUCAUUUUACUCUCUAGCUACUCAGUCAUAUUCCGUCACACUUUUUUCAACGGUUCAGCCCCACGGAUUUUGGAGCUUUUUGGUCUUUGAGUUUGGACUCCUUGGUCAAGAAAAAUCCCUCCAUGGAUUCACAGGUCUUGAUGGCUCUGGCUCUCUCACUUGUGGGUGGACUGAGUACUUCAAUCGGUUAGUAAAAAGCUCAUGCUUAUUCAUCGACUGCUUCAACUACCCAUUUCAGCAAUUUCAAAUUCAAAUUGUCACAUUUAGGAAGAUUUUGUUGUUCUUGUUUCGUUUGUCAAGUAAUGCUUAUCCAAAUUUGCUUCUGGGUAUUUCUUACUUUUGGGUUUUGGCUUCAAAUUUGCUUUCUUUGUUUGACUUUUUGAGUUUUAGAUAGAAGUCUGAUAUUGGUUAAUUUGCUGGUGGGUUUUGUAAAUUAGCUUCUACUAGUUUCAGUUCCCUAUCCAUCAAGUUGUUGCGAAAUUGAGGUUUAAUGGUGUAGAAGGCAUUGUUGGGAUGUGUUCCCGCUGUUUUCUAGGCCAGUUCUUUUGUAUUAGUCAUGUUGUGAAAAAGGCUUUUGAUUUUUAUGGAAUUUCCUAAUUUCUGAUGUUCACCUCAUUGCUCAGUAAAUCAGCUUCUGUUCUGGAGUCUAAUGAAAGUCUUGGAAUGUGGUACAGGUGCACUUUUUGUAGUUCUCAAUGAGGCUCCCAAUUUGAAGAUACUUGGGCUUUUACAGGUGCUCUGAUUCAUAUCCUUAAAUUCUGAAAUUUUAUUUGUUCCCUGGUUCGGUCAUUUUCUUAAAGAAUUAGCUCAUGUGUUGACUCAAUUGCUUACAUUUUCUUCUCUCUUCAGGGUUUUGCUGCAGGUUUGAUGCUAAGCAUAUCAUUCCUAGAUUUGGCUCACAAUGCUAUAAAUUCUAUUGGCUUUUUAAAAGGCAACCUAUGGGUAAGCCAUACACUUUAGUGUUUGUCUGAUUCAAAUCCAUAACCUCUCCGACAUGAGUUGCUCAUGUUUUCUUUUAGAAUUAUAUGUAAAAUUUAUCGGUGGUGCAGUUUUUUGGCGGUGUCAUAUUCUUUGGUAUCAUUGCCAAUUUUAUUCCAGAACCAACACUUGCUCCUAGUUCAGAUGUGAGAGGUAAAAAGGUAGUAAUCAACUUUUCUCCUUCUAAUUGAGCAAUUUGUGGAUGCUUUUGCAUAUGAUUUGGCAUUAUACUUCUACCCCAAAUAGAAGGCAUGUUUGACUGUGCGACAAUAUACUUAACAACAGAAAAGUGGGGAUGAAGGGGGCAAGGACACUUUGAAGAAGCAUCGCCGCCAAGUUCUAUACAGUGGGAUAAUUACAGCAAUAGGUAUACUACUUGUUUGAGAUGGUUUAAACUACCUUCCAUACUGUUCUUUGAAUUAGAAGACAAAAUUAAUUUGAUGUUACAUGUGGAAUUGGAAACUUUAGUUAGUUAAUGGUUGCAUGUUGAAAUUUAAAAGCUUGUUUUGAUAAAUUAAGUCAAGUUAGUCAAAUCUAUAAAUUAGAAAAACCAUUUUUAUGUCUUUGUGUUUUGGAUAUGUCUUUUGUUGUUGUUUUUUUUUGGGCCUACAAGAAGAAUAAAAUCUACCCCUCUUCUCACAACCCAAGGCCUAGGGGUGUUUUGCAUCUUCUGCACGUUUUGAAUGUUUCUAAUAGCUUACAGCAAUACUUUUUAUUUUCUGGACUUUUUAUUUUCUUCCCCUUUUGAGAAAUAAAGUCUGAGAAAAUGUUUGAGUAAUAUGGUUAAUGUCUAUAGUUGAUCCCCUCUAAUGUGGAAUAUCAUGGCCAUUGAGUUGCAGGCAUAAGUUUACACAACUUUCCAGAAGGAAUGGCCGUGUUCCUUGGAUCAAUGAAGGUACCUCUAUCUUAAGUUUUUAUUGUUCUUAGAAUAUUGAGUUAAUUCUAAGUUUGAUUAGAUGGAUGAACUCAUGCUUAUAUUGAUUUGAAUUUCACAAUAUGUGUCUGAUUUAAAACAAAACAAAAUUAUUUUUAAAUUAUGUCUAUAAAAAUGUCUUCUUGAAUGGUCAGACUUCCUUUGAUUCUUGAUGUGCAAUACUAAUGCAGUUUUCUUUGCCUAAUUAUUUUAAGAUAUGUUGUCGAUAUAAUAUAGUAUGGGGGUAGUGCGACCAUUUAAUUAACUUAUACUCACCAACUAUACCAACUAUUUAGUAUUCUUCAUGACCAAAUUAGAUGUAUUAUUAUUUAAGAUACAAUCUAGAUGGUGAAAUUUUAUUUAUUUUUCUUCCUUGUGAUGCAGUUUUAGCUUUAUUCCUACAUUCAACCAAUUAAUUUGGUCACGGAAGCUCUGUAUAUGUUGCUAUCUUCUUGAAGCACAGCUUCCGAUGCUGUGGUUCCUAGUAUGGGAACUCAUUAGUAAAGCUACUGUAUUUUUCCUAUCUAAAACAAUUUUAGAUGCUUACAGAUCCUGGCUUAUAUGUUUUUUUCUUCUUCUUAAUUUCAUAGAUGUAUAUGCUAGUUGAAAUUGCUAAAUACGUGUGCCAUUCCAUGCAUUCUUGUAUGUUUUCUUUUCUUCUACUGUAUAUUGGUUUUGAUUUGCAUGGUCUUUUCAUCAUACGGGAUUGGUGGUUGUAGAUGCAGCAAGAAUGGUUUUCGAUAUCUGUUUGAGGACUAUAAUUGCUGCUGAUGCUAAAUGUCAUAUACCAUUCUUGCUUGUUCCCUAAUUGUUUGCAGGGCCUUCGUGUUGGUGUCAACUUGGCCUUGGCCAUUGCCUUACACAACAUUCCAGAGGUAUGUAUAUUCUCUAAUACUUGUACUGUGUGGUAUUGCUCUAAUUGCUCGCACUCUGCCAUUGAUUAAAGUAGGACAUAAUUGUUUGUACCUUCCAGGGUCCACCACUUACCAUAAUAACAAUGGCUGGACUGGUAAUUUUGGUAAUAUAAUGGACAGGUUCCUUUGCUAUUAAGGAUACAAUUUUUGGAAUAUAUGGAACUAAUGUUGAUUGCAAGAAUAGUGCACAUCGCAACAAAGAGAAAUUGAAAGAAAAAGGAUGGAAAAUUGCAUUCAACAUUUCAAAAAUUCAAAAACCUGUCAAAUGAUUUCCGAGUUUCUAAAUGAAAGAUUCAAUAUUUUUAAAGAUUGUAUUCUGUGUUUUGGUUAUGAAUAUCAUCAAACUCUAAUUGUUCAUAAACUUCAUGCCCAGAGUGUGAUGAGCAAAAUUGUAGACUAUUAAAUAGAUAGAGGUUGCUUUAAAUUUUGAGUUUGGACUUAUAUUAAUGUAGAACUACUAUUGUUAUUAUAGUGACAACUUUUUCUUUUCUAGGGCGUCGCUGUUGCACUUCCUGUUUACUUCGCAACACAGAGGUGAGAAUUUUUGGAGUUGGCUUUUUGAAGUACUUAUGAAUUGUGACAAACAAUGGGUUUACUUUCUUUCUUCUUUUUUUUAAAUAACUCUCAAGUGUCUUUAAUUAACCCUGAAGGCAGACAAAAAUAUUUUUAAAAAGGUAGUGGUCUUUGGUAAAAUGAUGUCGACUCUGAGGGUUUUGGUAAUUUUGUUAGAAGUGGUGGAGGUAGUUGUAGUUUUGGCAGUGGUAUGAAAUUGUUAUUGAAUGUGGUAAUGGAAAAGGCAGUUCUGUCAUGGUUGUACACGGGCAGUGUUAUGAUGGUUUAAGCAACGAUGUUGGUGGUGGAGGAUAUCAUGUUUGUGGCUGUGCGCUACUCCUGGUAAUGGGUUCCGGUGGAGCAAUAUAAAUACUAGUGGUAGUGUCUGGUGGUUUGGUAACUAGCUAUUCUUUAGGAUGUCAGUGCCGUAGUUUGGAAAUUGGAUGCAGAUUGUCUCACUUCAGAAGCAGAGGGUUUCAAUCAAAAUUUUAACUCAAUUUUUUUUUUUUUUUUUUGAAUAAUAGACAUGAGUUCUAAGCUUCGUUCACUUUAGAGCAAUAAUUACUUCAUAAGUUUUUGUUAGCCUUUAUAUCGAGACAAUUUUAUGAAUCUCUCUCAAACGAACACUGAAUCAUUCUUAUGAGAAAUUAUUAAAUGGUGGGUUUUCUACAUGUCCCAGCAAAUGGCAGGCAUUCAAAUUGGCAACACUUUCUGGUUUUGCUGAGCCUUUGGGUGUCAUAAUUGUAGGUAUGUCAACUGUGAAAAGAAACUUAGAUAUCUUUCUUUUACCAAUCUUAAUGGGAAGGGUGGAUUUAGAAUAGGUGCUUGAGUCCUGAAUUUCUUCAAGGCCACUUGUUCAUGGUUUUCACUUCUGCUACAGCCUAUCUAUUUCCAAGCAGCUUGAGUCCUGAUAUUCUUGAAGGCUUGCUGGGAGCAGGUUUGCAAAUUAAUGAUAAUUUAAUAUAUCAACUGAAUAAGAAUUAUUUUUUAUGAAAAUUUUGGUUCCCAUGCAUUUUUGUUGUCACACAGUUGGUGGAGUAAUGGCUUUUCUAACCCUGCAUGAGAUGCUUCCCUUGGCGUUUGAUUAUGCGGGGCAGAAGCAAGCUGUCAAGGCCGUAUUUUUGGGAAUGGCCUUCAUGUCUGCAAGGUAAUACUUAUGUUUUAAAUAUACUGAAGAAAAAUAUUCGAGAAUGUCGCUCUUACAAAUGCAAAUAGGGUACUUGUUGGUAAAGGAGUUUUUCAGAGUAACUAGCUGUUUAAUUUCUUUUUAUCAAUAUCUAGAAAAGGGUUAGAGAAUCUGAGGGUGUGAUAUUUGUAGCUGUACAUAAGUGUUGCUUAUUCUCCUUACAGAUUACUCUCUCUUUGCCUGUUUUGCAGCCUCUACUUUCUCGAAAUCAGCCUACCUCAGGAGAUGAGCUUGUAGCUGUGUUCCAUCAUUCCAUGGAUCUUACCCCACAGUAAUUUACAUUGUUGUACAAGUCUACUGACUUUAGACCGCCUUCAAUAGAUCAUUUCGUUUCUGCCUGAAGACCUGUAGUGAUUUUAAUCGGCCUUUAAUAGCUCAUCUGGUUUCGGCGCAAAGGAGAAAGUAAUACCCCAAGGAUGGUAGUUCAUACUCGAUAUAAAAGAGAUGUACUUAUUUUUUCCUUUUAAUAAAUAUGUAAAAUGAAUAGUGUACGGAACUUGAUUUCUUUACUGAACACUCUUUCAUUUUCCUGUAUUUGAAUAUGAAUAUUGCAGAUAACAGUACCACCCAAACAUGUGAUGUACAGAGUGUAUUUUACUUCCACAUAAGUUGAGUCGUGGAUUAGAUUUUUCAUGGAUGAUCCUGAAUGAAAACUGGUUAGAACAAUCCAUGGCUGGAAAUUGUAUUAUCCAUAUAAGUUAUGGAGUUGAAAACAAUUUCAAUAUCCAAUAAGGUGAUAUAGGUAUGAAUUAUAUGGUUCACUUUCCUCCGUAAAGUAUUCGCUGUAAGUAAAUUAGUCAGCGAAAUUUGCUAGCUUGAAAUGGUAAUUGCAAAUUUGCAACAUUAUGAAUCCUGUAAAAUCUUAUGGUUAGACAAAUUUGUGCUCUGGAAUGGUAAAAGAGACAACUGAAUAACACCACGAUCCCAAACAUGCAUUAAGAAUAUGCUCCUUCAACAACAGAUAGAUUCCAAGACCAGUAGGAAGAACAUUUUGUUCUUCCUAGUGCAAGACUCUUGGCAUAUCUUGAUAUUUUAUGUAAUUAUUUCUCUGCAAUAUCAGAUUCUAAUAUUUUAUUGCUUUUGGCUUGGCAUAUACAUCACAAUCCCAUGUAGGUUGAGCAACCAAAGGAAACGACAUGUGAAUUUCAAAAAGGCAUGAAAAAGGAAAAGAAAAGACAAGAAAAGAAAGGCAGCAUAUAUAUAGAUAUAUGAUGACUCGUGUAUGGAUCAUGCUGUUAUGACAUGCAAUGCACAACACUUAAACUUUAAUCCAUAUAAAAAGUUUAGGAGAUUCCAAAGACCUAGCCAUCAUAGUUUUGAUUUUCUGUUGAGUGGUCAAUUGAAAUGAAGGUCUUCUCCUCUUCAAUCUCAUAAUGACUUCCCAUCUAGGAAAUCAUUGUAAUUUCUUGGAAAUGCAAUUUCAGAAACAAAAAACUAAUCUGGACAACAUGGGAUUAAAGCUGUCUAGUCCUAUCUUCUUAUGCAAAAAGCAUUUGAUGAGAUUUGUGAAAUUGAAGAGAAAAUGGGGGUAAAUAAAUAGUGAGAAAUUCCACUCAAAGAAAAAAGAGAAGAAAAGACUAAAGGUGUUUUAUUAGGUAAAGUAGAGUGGGGAAGGAACCAAAAUCAGGUUUUUUUGACAAAAGCUUUUAUUGGUAAGAGAAUUUCUUAGAACUAACCAAAGCUUAUUAUGGGAUUUAGGCUGUCUAGUCCUGUCUUUCCCUUGUGAUGCAAAAAGUUAGCUUUUGAUUGGAUUUAUGAAAUUGAAGAGAAAAUGGGAUAUGGCUACAGCUAGUGAGAUUAGUAUAGGAACUAUAUUAUAUGCACACACUCAAAGCAAAAGAUAAGAAAAGACUUAAAGGCCUUUCAUCACCCGAAGGAUCAAGUAAAGUUAACAAAAUCAAGUUUUUUUGUCCAACGCUUUAAAAUUGCACGAUUUACUUCAUGAAUAUGAUUAUAAAUAAAUAAAAAAGUAUUUGAAGGACAGAGAAUUAAGCACACCAAGAACACUGGGAUGUAAUUGAAGCACAGGUAAUUGGACAUGAUGCAAUUAAUCACUACAAGAAAAUUAUUGGUGUCCGUCUGCUAUUAGACGCUAAUAGUAGUGGCUAAUAGCUAACAUCGACAAUUAUUGGUGUCCGUCUGUUAUUAGACCCUAAUAGUGCCUUUAGCCACCUUAUCCUCUACGACUAAUUUCAGUGACUAAUGGGGUUUUUUGCUUGUAGUAUUCUUCCCAACAUUAUCAAUAACCCCAUCACUAACUUUGUAUCUUCAUCUGAAUCAACUACAUCUUUAAUUUCAUCCCAUUAUAUAUAUACAGUGCAAUUGUACAUGAUCUACAGCCUACAGAGAAACCUUAGGCUUAACAUUAUGGGAUUUUUGUACGUUUUUAUGGUCAGGACAAAUAAGCAAUAGGAAUGCUUCUGAGUUCAUAGGUCCUUUAUUGAUGUUGAAUAGUAAGUUAUCUGUUCAAUCACACCAGAAAUACUAUUGCUAUAGCUACCUAUAGGCUAUCACCUAUGCUUAGCUCUCUAGUGCUAAAUCCAAAUUCUACACAAUAUUGCAUCUGUUUUGUGCAUUGUAAAAAAAGGGUUUAAAUCAUGAAUUAAAAGUUAUAAAAGAAGAAGAAGAAGAAAAAAAACACAUUCUGGUGCAAGUUUGCAAACCUUUGCUGCUGUCACUGAUCUUUUUUAUUACUUGGACGUGUUUUGCGUAUGCUUUUUUACGCUUUCCAUUUUCUAUCUGCACUAGCAUACUUUAUUUUAAUUUAGUACCUAGGUUAUAGCACUUUGCCAUAUUUGCGUCUAAAUUAUUGCUUCCACAGAAAAAAGUAGGAAAAAUACAAAGAAAAAGAAAAAAAGAAACAUUAUAUAAGUUCAUUAUAUUGUACAUCUUCAAUGUGAAACAUGUAUCUUUUUCUCUCCAUUUAAUGAUGAUAUACUUUCUUUAUUUCUUUCAAGAUUUUGUCCAUAUUCCCCUACAUUGAGACCCCAUCCCCCAUGUUAUGUUAUAUAAUAUACAUUGAUAAAAAUAGGGGGAAAAAACACCAAGUUUGCAAUAUAAAACCAAUUUAGCGUAGGAUAAUCGAUGAGUAAGCUUAUGGUAUGUAUUAUAUAUAUAUAUAUAGAGAGAGAGAGAGAGUAUAUUCAAAUGGAUUAUUACUUUUGCUCUUUAAUUUCGUUUUACAAGUGAUUGGGGGAGGGAAUUUAUACAAUUAUUAAAUGGGUGUUUGGGAGUUUCGAAUCUCUGUCCGCAUGAGUGGAAGUGGAAAAGAUCAACCAACAGAACUAUACCCACAGAUUUUACUCUCUCUACUUUAAGUUACUUUUUUAUAUUUAUUUUUAUAAAGUUCUUAAGUGAUAAAUGUGUCAAGAAUUCGUAUUCGCCCAUCUCUAUUUUCCUUAUGCAUGGGGAUCCCUUUACCAAAUAAAUUAUUUCCAUGCUAAUUCAAAAUAAUCAUAACCAUAUAUAUAGAAAUGCGUCCUCCAAAACAAAUAUAUAUUAGUUUAUUCAUCCCCAAAAGAUAUUUAAGGACAUCUUGUAAUAAAUUACUAUUAAACCAAUUAGGUUUGGUCCUAGCCAAUCGAUGUCUCUCGAGACAAGAAUUCGGUAGUAUGCACAUUGAGACGUAAUAGGGAGACAAAGUUGUCCCCUUUGUGCUGGCCAUGCCAAUAGAAGGACUCAACAAUAGAGAGAACAAAUUUAUACCUUCAUGGACAGUCUUGGCUCUGCUACCAUAUACCAUUCUCUUCGUUUUUCUUUUCAUUUUUUAAUGCGACAUGAGGUAUCUUAACCUCAUUAAUCCAUAAUUAGGGUAAAUGAAAUGGUUUAAGGGGUUCUUAACACAAUUUCAAGCUCUUUUGGGGGAUUCAGAAAUAGAAAUUCUAAACAACCAGGGGACUUCACAGCAGUUGAGAUUCUACUUAAAGUGUCGGCCUAAAGCCAAAAAUGAGAAAAGGGAAAGAAAAAUAAGUUUAUAUAUAUAUAUAUAUAAUUACAUAUAUACAUAUGUGUAUAGAGAGUACGUACUAGCGUAAUCAUACAUAGAUGCAUGGUGGGGACUAGCAUCUACCUUCUAUGCAAUUAUUCUUUUUCUUUACCCAUUUUUUAAUUAAGAGUUUGGUAGGGUAACUUUCAUGCAAGUGAUUCUAAAACCAGUUGGUUGUGAGUGGAAGUUUAUAUUUUAAUAUAUUUACCAGUUAUGAUAUAAGUGCGUUGAUAACAUCAUAUAAUAGUGUUACGGUUACACCAAAUAAUUUGCUUAUUGUAAACGUAUUGAUGUCAAAAAGCAAAAGGACAAUUUAUAGGAACCUGCUGUAUAAAACCAAGACAUGGGAAUAUGGGAUGAAGAAGAGAUGAUGUCUCAGUGGGGUUUUUUAGUGGUGCAGGCAAAUGGUGAUUAGUGCUAGCUGUGAGUCAGUGACGGAUCACUGGCUGGGAAUAACAAGGAGAACAAGAAAAGAAUCACAGAGCUGGACAGAUUAUUAAUGAAUAAAUUAACUGAUUAAUUAAUUAGGGUACGUAGGGUAUUUUACGUUCUGUUAAAUCUAUCUAGAUAGGGUACAAUGAAACCAUAAUAACUGUCAAAGACUGGCAAAAACUUACCUCAUCAUCAUAAAAGUGAAAGACAGAGCUUGAGAGCUCAUGACCUGGGAAGGGAAGGGAAGGGAAGGGAAAAGGAGACAUAAAAUGUGAAGCUGAAUUGGGACACACGCUGAACCCACCAAACAGUACAUACUCUGUAUAUAUUUGCAGCUUGAUAUGACAUUUCAAGACUUCUUUCUCUUCUUUUCUCUUUUGACUGCACUACAGACACAAAUAUUACUCUCUCUCUCUCUCUCCCUCUCAUAAAGCUGCCAACAAGAUCCAUUAUAUCCCUUCCAACCUCUGUAGUCUGUGGGAUAUAUAGUGAAAAUAAUAAAUAAGGUUACAGAAAUAAGAACUAGCUACUACUGUAGUGUAGUGUCUUAUUAAUUGCACAUCUACCUCUCUCUCUCUCUCUCUCUCUCUCUCUCUCUCUCUCACUUGCGUGAACCUAAUCAAUAUUUGAUUUGAAGUUGAAUUUAAUCUUAUUAAUGUAAAUAUAAACACAGAAGGACCGUAAGCACUCAUAAGAAAAAAAUAUUAAUUCCUCCGAAAAAUCGUAUUAUGGGAAAAUGAGGAAAUGGGAUCUGUCAUUUUUAGUGAGGGGGCUUCACAUUUCUCUUGAUAUAAUGCUUAGGUAAACGUCGAAAACAUGUACUUUUCAAUUCUCCAAAUAAGGAGGCCAAAGGAACAAUGCAUGAAAUUUUCAAUUCAAUCCCAUGAACUUAUUUUUUUAUUGCUUUUUCCCAUGAACAUAUAUAUGUCACUGUCUACCAAUGCACUGUUUUGACUAAUGUGCAUAUCCUUUAGAAACUUUGAAGAACACACGCUUGGCUUGGGAUCUCUGAGUUGCGUGUAUAUAAAUUAUACGACUUGAGCUGCUUAAGCCUUUUGCCCUUUCGUUGUUUUUGAUGUUUUUGGUGUUUCCAACAACUAGCAAGCAAGUCCUAUAUAUCCACCAAAGGGUUUUUACUCUUAAUUUGCAAUUUAGAGAUGAGAAAAAGUGGGAUAUACUUGUUGGAAAAAUGAGAGCAUAUUGUAUUCAUUUUCCUCAUGGCCAUGUAUAGCUAAGAUAUGUACUUUCACCCAAAAAAACUGAUGAAAAGAAAUUGCCAGUGAGCAUGAGAGAGAGCGAGAGAGAAAUUACAGGAACUUGGUUUAUCGUUGAUGUAUGAGGAGCCAUUGCUAAUUAAGGAAGCUUUUUAAAAAAUAAGGAAAAAGAAGAAGAAGCAAGAACAGAAGAAUGAAGAAAAGAGCAUAGCUAGGCUAGCUAGCUUCCGGUCAUAAGCAAAUUUUUAGCUGCCCAUCCAUAAAACGUUAUUCUGACCCAAGGUCACUAACUAGCUCACUGGGAAGAGUAAUUUUCCUCAAUUUCAGAGGCUGCAUCAUCAUCUUCUUCAAAACAGUCAAUGCCAUAAGCUGCAUGGCCAUGUCCAAAUGCCUUGAUAUGAUCUUUGAGAGACCUCUUGUGCUUGAAAUCAGAGCCACAAGUGCAAUACCAAAGCUUGCCACAAUUCUUCUCAUGGGUUCUCCAAUCACCUCUCACUGCAAAAGCCUUGCCACAUUUUCUACACAUGAAAGGCUUGAUCCCAUGCUUUCUCUUGUAAUGAGUUUGGAGGGUUCUGAAGUCUUUGAGAGGCUUUGACCUUGGAUGGUCAAUGUUGUUUCUGCAACCUGGUGCACAGCAAUAGCAAGGCAGUCUAAGCAUGGCUGUUGGCUGUGUUCCUCUUAGAGACUCUGGCCCUUUUCUGUAUUGAGAUCCAUGCCCCCACAUAUGCAUCUACACAUAUAAUUUUAUUAAUUAGUCAAGCAAAAACCCACCUCAAGCUGAUGAGGGAAGAAAAAUGAAAAUGUAAAGGAACUAGCUUUCACCGAAUAAAAAGUUGGACUUGUUGUGCAUAAGAUUCGGAUGUCUUUGAAAUGUUGAUUCUUUUUAGACUUGUUUGAAUAUAGCUAGCAUUUGUAAUUUGUUCUUUUUCUAAAACAAACAUGGGUGAUGGGUCAAGGUGUUUUCAAAUGAAAAGAUAAAGCAAACGUUAUAUAUAGCACUGUUGAUGAUACUGAGAAAUUUAUUGGUUCCUCGGGGUUUAAUGAGGAAGAUCAUCUGAUUCUGAAGGCAGGAAGAACUUGGGUUUGAGACAGCUGCCAAGCCAAUGUGAGAGACACAAACUUCAAGGAGCAAAAAGCACAAUUGCUGUGUAGUUCAAUCACAUAAAGAGGGGUGCUAGAGCUGAUCAUAAUUAUUCUCAGAGACUCAGUCUUGGACCAGGUAGCUAGCUGAGAUUUAUUCUUACUUUUUAAAUCCCAAAACCCACAAAUCAUGCAAAAAGAUGAAAAAAAAAAAGAGUGGCUGGUGUGGUGAUCAUAAUAUAAAGUGCCAUUCUGGACAUACAAAACAAAAGAAAGUAAAAAUGAUUUAAAGUUGCAAGAAGAAGAAAAGGGAAACCCUAAGGACCCAUAUAGUACCACUGCUCUUUCCUCUCACCAGUCCACAGCAUAUAUAUAUAUAUAUAAUAAUAAAAGUUAAAGACUAAAAUCAAGCUAAAAAAGAAGUGUACAAAACAAAGAUAGAUAGGAAUGGAUUUGCUCUUUCUCAGUAAAAUCAAGAGAAUAUGAUCAGAAGCAGAAAGUGAUGGGAGCUAGGAAAACAAAAAGUGAAUACUUUUUUCUUUAUAAAAAUAAAUAAAUAUUUCACACAACUUUUUUUUUCUUUUUUUUUUUUCCCCUCUAGCUGAGAAAUCAUGGAACAAUUCAGACAUAUAUGAAAGCUAAAAUAUGUUGUACCUGCAUGUUAUUGUAUCUGUUGAACGUCUUGAAGCAAAGAGGGCAUGAGAACUGGGUUGGACCAAUUAAAAUCUGAGUAGGAGUAGGGAUCCAAUACUGACCCUUGUUGAGUCUGUUUGGGGCAUACCCAGCUGAAGCAACAGUCACAUCUACUACUUCUUUAUCUGAUGAGAUUUCUGGGGAAGAGAGCCUAGAGAUCAAAUCAGUUGAUAGGGUCCUGCUUGGAAGCCCUAAAUGUAAAGCCACAGUAACAGUUUCAUCAUUUUCAUCUUGAUCAACAAUAUCAGCAGAGCUGGAGACGACCAAGCUUUGUUGAUCAGCUGAGUCUUUUCUACUGUUGUUGUUGUUGUUUUGAUGAUCAGCUUCCAUGGCAUUGAAAGAGGGUUCUUGCAAGUCUUCAUGAGGAUGAUGGUGUCUUGAAGGGCUUAGGCUGAGGAGGGGAAGGGCUUCUCUUAGAGGAGGUGAGGGAGGUGAUGAUGAUGAAGAAGAAGACUGGUGGUGAUUAAUGAAAAAGCUUUGAUUGUGCACCAUCAAGUUAUUUGAUGAGCAAAAAUUGUUGCAGUCUCUAUAAUUAGGAGGAGCAUGGAAAUUAUAUGGAUUAAUAGAAGAAGGUGUGGGGGGGGAGGAGAGGUGGUGGAGAGGGUUGAGAUUGAACCAGCCAUUAUUGAAGUAAUUAGAGUAGGGAUCUGUCAUGGUGAUGAUGAUGAGAGGUGGGAGAAGCUAGAGAAUGGAUGGCUUGCUAGGAUUGGGUUAAUAUACACACAGAAGGGGGAGAGGGAGAGAGAGGACUAAAAGUAAAUAAUAAGGUGGAGGAGGAGAGUGGAGACCUAUUGAACAAAAUCACCAACUCAAAAAGAAGCAGCGGUGUAGUGUGAGUGUGAAGGGUUAAAGAAAUGUCAAAAAUCAAGGUUGAUAAAGCAAACCCAACUGAGUAAAAGGAGAGACAAGAAAUCACUUGUGAGGUGUGACCAAACAGUGACAAAAUAUGCUAAAGAAGAGAGAGAGAGAGAGAGAGAUAAUCUUGGGACUUGAAAGGACAAGUCAUCACUUAUUGAACACUGUGUACAAACGGUAUACAAUUAUGUGUACAUACUAGCUAUAUGUAAAGGAAGAAAAUAAAAUUUACCUCACCAACCCGAAGACUCAACUUUGAUGAUGAACGAGUAUAACAAAGGCAUAAGACAAAGUUGGUAAUUAAGAUUGUGGAGCUUGUCCCCCAUCAUUCCAUUCCUCAUGCUCCCAUUGAAUAUUGAUGAGAGAGAGAGAGAGAGAGAGAGAGAGAUUGUACAAUAUACAACCAUCCAUGCAUACAGCUGAACACAAGCUAGCUAGCUAUAAGCUAAGGGUUGUAAUUUUGAGAUAGAUGUUAUGUAACUAUACAUAUACCAUAUUAUUUUAAAAUUUUAAUUGAAUUUUCUGUGGCUUUGGGAGACAUACAUAGUUAGAUCCAAACCCAGCAUUUGCUUUGGUGGGCGGGCCAUGGUCGGCUAAAUUGGCUCCCCACGAGCACAGAGAGAUAUUGUCCUCAUCUCAUCUCAUUACUGUUUGCUUGCUUGUUUACAUGCACAACAACAACGUUACUGUUUCUUCUCUCUCUCUCUCUCUCUCUCUCUCUCUCUCUCUCUCUCUCUCUUUCACAUCUCUCUCUCUCUCGGCUGAUCUGCUAUAACAGCAGCUGAAGCCCAUUUAGAUUUAUUUAAUUUUUCUUCUAAUUAAUACGUAUAAUGGUAUGGGCCAACAAACUCUGUCUACGUAUUGAGCCGACACUGGUAGUAAUAUUGACCUUUGACAAAAAUUUCGUGUCGUGAAAUUACAUCUGUUUACUAAAACCUUUUAUGAAAUAAAUAUAUAUGUGUCCCCAUAUUAUCCUAAGCCUUAAAACAUCUAUGUCUAAGAGAAAUAUAUAUAUAUAUAUAUGUAUAUCAGAGAGCUUUCAUUGAGGGAUCCCUCAAAUAAUAUUUGAGGGACACCUCUUGUAGGCCCCACUCCGGAUUGUAUUUCACUAAUCCAAACCGUCUAUUUUGUAGAUACUCAUUCAAAGAUCAUCUCUACAAAAAAUCACUUGAAUCCGAUAUCAUGUGACCACUCAAUUGAGUUAUUGAAAUUUUAGUACUUUUCUUAAAGCACCGUGUUCAUUGAUUUUGUAAGACACAAUUGGAUGUCGAAACGGUUUUCGAUUUGUCUAAUUUUUUGUAAGGAUGAUCUAUGAAUGAAUACCUAAAAAAUAGAUGGUUUGGAUUAUUGGGAAAAGAAUUGUAGGGUACUCUAAAGGGCGUCCCUCAAAUAAAAUUAUUUGAGGGAUCCCUCAAUAGAAGGGGACUGUAUAUAUAUAUAUUUAAAUUACAAAAUCAAAAGGGCAGCUUAAGAUUCUUGUGACAUCCCUAUUCAUAAAUUUACAAUUGUUCUUGUAAAAUGUUCAACUACCUCUCAAGAUCUGGUAUUCAGAGUAGAAAUGUACAAAUUGAAGGUGGUUCGAAAAUGUAUUGAUGCGCUUAAAGUAUAUUUUGCUGGAGGAAAAAAUGAUAAGGGAAGAAAAAACCUUUUUCCAUUUUCGUGGCAAUUAUGCUAUUAGAUCGGUUUUGGGAAGAAGACACACUUGCGAAAUGUUAUUGGGACAAAGAACAAAAGAACAUAAAUUCAGGAAAACAAGUUUGCUGCAAACUCUGAGCAGCAUGGCAGUGGCUACCCACAUCACUCCAAUUCGGUACCAAAUUGCCAGUACUUUCUAGUCCCAUAUACAUUUCGCGUACAAUAUUAUAGAGACUUGGUGUGUGAAUGAAUAUCACAUUCAAAGUCACAUUUCAGUGCAUGGGACCCUCUCAAUAAUAGAGAAGAGUAAUGCUAAUGCUAUCAAUUGUCGACCAUGUGCGCACGUGAGUGACGGUAAUUCGUUAAUGCAACACGAUAUAUUAAUGAUUAAAAAUCACUUAUAUAGUGCGUGAACGAUUGUUGCUAGCAAAAUUAUAUAGAAGAAGAAAUAUAAUGUGGGUUGAGGAAAUUGAUUGAUAUCUGUCAUAUGUGAGCAUUAACAUGUGGAUAACUUUUUAAAUUUCCUUUACUUUUUAACGAAUAAAACGUGGGGACAAUCUGGAUGAUUGGGCAUUCUUAGCAAUUGGAGCCAGAAGAACAGUAGGUAUGAAUUAACUUUUGUAUUUUAUGAAAAGCAAACGCCUUUUUCUGCUAGUAUAAGUAUAUCGUAUUUGCUAAAAAAUACGAAGACGAGCCAUUUUUUUAACUUUCUACCUGGCAAUGUAGGAUGGUCCUAUUAAAAAAUGAAUAAUCAAAUUAGGGCUCAGGUCAACGCAAUUAAGAAAUUGGACUUGGGCUAAACCUAAGUGAAGAAAGUCGGGUCAUGUCAAGCCCAAUCCGGAAAACUUAGGGCCAACCUUAUUUUUUUUUAUCUUCUCUCUUUUAAAUCUUUCCUUUUUCAUUAUUACAAUGUAUGGAUAUUAUUUUGUUGUAAAAAGAAAACGGAUUAAAGAGUGGUAAUGAAAAUAAUUUCAUUAGAACUGGGUCGUGAGUAUUAAGCCUGACCCAGAUCAUGAGCAAGGAAGUAAAAUGGGGGUGAAAGCGAAAUAAUAUCCCCAUUUGACAGUGGAUAAGAUGAAGGCAAAGCAACCCAAUGAAACAAGACCAUUAUGAAGAAAAGCAUGUACAACAUCAAGGAAAAAGAAUAAUAAAUGAAUUAACAGACAGCCGGACAAAGUAACACGGGCCCUAAUUCCGGUGUCCAACCCCGAAGUGAAAUCUCUUUGUAUGCUUAUCGUUAAAUGCAUAUUCGAGACGAAGAGGCCCCAAUGGUGAGUCCAAUCUGAUGCCAAACCCGUAACCGUAACCACUUCCAGGCUUCAGCCUAGCACCCGCAGGAUCACCUGAUUAUGCAUAGAUAAUCUCAGGACAAUAUGGUUCUUUAUGGUUCCAAGGAUUCAAGAGUGAAUAGUAAAUUAAACUAAGGGAAACCUACCAGGAACAGUAGGGCCUGAUCCAAGAUCCGUGCCAUAGUCAGCAAAAAUAACUCCUCCAACUGGCCCUAUCUGCAACAACAGGACAUGAUAUCAUGAUGGAUCAAGGAAUCAAUGUUUUCUUCAAGUAUAUAGAGAAGACAGUUUCCCACAAUAACAAUCAAACAUGAUAUGCCCAGCACAGAUGCUUGUAAGAACCCAAAAAAGACAAAAGAAAAGAGAGCCCAUUUUCACCACAUACCACGGGAAAAGAAAUUUCUCCAGAGCCAACUGUAUAAGAUCUACCUGAGCCCACAGCACCUUCUUCGUAACCUCUUACACUAUUUGUUCCACCGAUGGCAAAUGCUUCAUGUGGUGGGAAGUUACCAACCACAUGGCCACCAGACAAACUAGCAGUGCAAAGCAUAACAAAGUCAAAACCAAAUUAAAGCAUCAUUUGCUUAAUUUCAAAAGAUAUAAAUUACAAUAGCAAGUUGGGUCAAAUUUUGGGUGAAACUAUAAAACUCAUAAUGUUUUAUAAUAUUCGAUUGCUCCUAUUCUUGACAAAUACAAAACGGCCAUACCUUAAAAGAAAGCGAGCAGGGCCAAGUUCUAGGUCUUUCCUGGCACGAGCAUUUAUUCUGUUGAAAACCAACCAUUCAGGCAAAACAGGAAGUCCUUGUUCCAUGUUCAAUACUAGCUGCAGAGGGCCAUAAAUGAGUAUCAAAGUACAGUGGAAGUUCAGAAAGAAAAAAGAGUCAUAAUUUGUGAACACACUGUGAUUGACUAACCAUUGAAGACCCAUGGUCACCAGAACCUGUGUAGACACUCUCAAGUUUAGCAAGUAGCAUAUCGUCAUGGUUAUUGCCACUACAAAACAAAAAUGGCAAACAAAGAGCAGAAGAUUAGAAUCAUGGAUCACAGCAAAACUUUAACUAAGAUAUGGAAACUAAACUGAAGUAGUUUGGUUUUUAUUUGAUUUCAGACUCGUGUACCUUGCAGUUAGGGGACUGCUGAAGAAAUCCUUGAUAAUAGGAUUUCCUCUCUCAUCACGAGCACCAGCAUGCUGGCAAAAUAGUCAAGAAUAUGGGUAGUUAAUGUUACAAAUAAAAUACAACCAAGUCAACAUAAACCUCAUAACAAACCUUCCAAGUUCAAAACCACCACUGAAUGUUAAAACUCAUCCAAGAAACACACAAAAAAAACAAAAAACAAAAAACAAAACAAAACAGCCACAGGGGGAUAAAAGCACAAGUACCUGAAAGAUAAGCCCAGCUGUUCCACUCAACUUUGGCCUUAUGGGUCGGCUGAAUUCAAUACCAGCUGUGAUGCGACCAAUGGUCAAGUUGCUACCAUCUUGUUGGUUACCAUGGAUAAGUGUUCCAGGGGUUCUUGAAUUCUAACAGAAAAGAAUUGGUCAAACAUCUCGCCAUCAAGAAUUUUCAAGUAGUGAAUGGUAAAACAAUAGUACUUUAUACAAUACAACGUUAAAGUACCUGAACCAUUAUAGUCCUGGACGUCCGCAUAUCAUCUCCUGCAAUCCAUGGAUCUGAGUAGUUUAUACGAAAUAUUGAGUCUAUCUGGCCCCUCUCCAGAGAAACAUGGAGUUUUUGGUUUCUUCCAAAGAGAUUCCUAUGAGAAUAUGCAAAGCUGCAAAGGGAAGAAAAAAAUUUAUGUCAAAAGUGUAAUAAUGAAAUCAUAAGAAUCUAGUGCAACACUAGAUGACAUGCUGAUGGUGAACACUAACACUAUUUGAACAUAGACGCACGUAUAUUUGUAUGUAUAUGUAGAAAUACAUAAUGCUUACAGAAUCCAGAUGGUCUGUCUCUUCAUAAAAUAUUAAUAAUAGAAAGCAUUUUCAAUACAUAACUUUUUAUGUGCAGUAGAUUACCUUCCAAUGAGUCCUGAAAGAGGGCCGCUUGUAAUUCUGAAAUUAAAGAACAGAAGUUAACAUUUUAUACCACAAAAUCUAAAACAUAAACUCAUAUAUUGACCACAAAAAAAGUCAAUUUGUAUGUUCCACUCAUUUGACUUACCCACUUGAUAUACCACCACCAGCAGAAAAACCUCCACUUGGUCGCUCAACAACAUUCAUGGUGAUAUCAACCUUACCAGCAUCUACAAUUUUGCAGUAGUUAUAGCAAGCAAUGCAUUCAACCACAUGCAUGAACUCCACACAAACAUGUAUAAAUUAUUAAAGAUAAACAAAAAAAUAAUAAUCAUUGAACGCUAACAAGAUGGAAAAUAUGUUAUCCAACAAAAAUAUUUGCAAAAAAGAUUCUUUACCACCUGCUGGCUGGGGUAUAAUGCUAACAUCUUCCAUAAGUCCCAUAGUCAAUACAGUCUCCACAUCUCUUUUUCCUUGAAGCAUACUGUAGACCUACAUAGGUAUCAUCCCAAGUAGCAACCCUUAAAAGUUGACAUGUCACCACUAAAUUUAGUGCAUUUCUUUAAGGAAGAACCAUUUAAGCAUAAAUACUUGAUGGCAAAGUAAAAGCACAAUGUUCCCAAAAACCCACUAAGAUCAUUAUUAUAUAGAGAAAAUACGUCCAGGAAAGUACCUGACCCUUCUUUGUAGUAAGUUGGCGAAGUAUUGUUUCGGGCUUUGUCUUCCCUACAGUUGGUUCCCCACUAAGAAGAGCACAGAAGAAUUAGCCAAGAAAUCAUUUCAUAGCCACUUUUUCAAGAAAAUUUGAACAUUAUCCAUGCAUGCAACAUCUGUAAAUGCGAACUCGAUUAAACCAGGAACUUACGUCUUCCUGUCAAGGAACCGUAUGGAGAUAUUAUUGACCUCCGCUUCUGAUACUUGUAACUUAAGAACACCUCCCGAGAGACUCUCAACAGCUGAAACCUAUAAUGUAAUCAAGAAAAGAGCUGUCUACUAUUAAGAAAAAUCUUGAUAAAAAAUAAAGCACAGUGAAGUCUUCACUGAACCAAUUCUACAUUCUACAGCACUAGAAAUAUUAACUUCAUCUUUGUACAUGCCGAAAUUCAAAAUAAUUAUGAAAAACUUAUAGAGAAGAAACCAACCAUUGCAAAAAGGCCCCGAUCCAUGUACCAAUCAUUGAUGGAAGAUAUAACUUCAUUCAAACGCUUAAGAUUAAUAACUUUUCCUGCACAACUUGACACCAAAAUCGAAAAUCAAUAUAGGACUCUUUGAUCACACUUAAGUGGCACACCAGAAAAAAGCAAAUGAUCUUUCGUGCAAAGAGCAUGCACGAACAACCCUAAAUAUGUAAGAACGUUGAAGAAAAACCUACCAUAUCCGUCACAGAAUGCAUCCUUUAUAAACUUCGCUGGAAGAACAUUUGCCCCUUCACAUACUAGCCCUUGGAAUUCCUGGUUUGGUUUUACCUAGCACCAUUAAAAGAUUAUUAAACUAUUAGUCACAGUUCCAAGCCAAAUCAAAUAGGAAACAUGUUCUCAUACAUGAUCAUGACAUGAGUUUGCAUCACCUAUGAAACCAUAACACAAAACCAUGAUUGCUCGCUCUCUAUUUCAAAUUUAUUUAUUUUUAGGGCAAAUCUCUCUAUCUAAUGCAAAGACAAUGAUCUAAAGAAGAGUUAAAAAUGAUCAUGGGUCAAAAAUCAAAACAAUAAAUGCAUAAAAGUGAUGAACUCAACACACCGAUAAACAAGCACCUUGAUAAUUAGCAUGAGGUCAUAAGGACUUAACUGAAAUUGAAAAUGACAAAUGAAUACAAAAAUAAUACAAAUAAUAAACACUAAAUGCUUUUGGUUCACGACAAGCAUUAGUUUCAAUUUCUUUAAGCUCUUCUCCUACAUUUAUUAGGAUUAUAAACAGAAAAAGGCACAGAACGCAAUUGAAUUCGACAACAAUGCAUAUGCUUGUACCUGAAAGAUCAAUCGGAUACCGUCUCUCGUAUCUACAGCGACUGGCAUGCAAGAGCAGAAGUAUCCACUAUCGAAGAUUCUCUGCACAUCCUCUUGGACCUCGCUCACAGUGAGCGCCGAGUUGGGACGGCAAGCCUUGAGAGCCGCCAAGGCCUCCGCUUCUAGGUCCUUCCUCUCCAGCUCUUCACCGUCCUUGUUCCUCACCAGUACCUCGCUUAUCAAAACCCUCUCCUCGUCGUGCCGACUCGAUGAGUGGCCCUUCUGCUGCGACUGAGUCGACUCGUCCGGCCGAGUCAAAGAUAACGACGCUGAACAUAAAAGCGGUGACUUCCCUACAAACUGACUGUGGUCUGCAUUUCGAUUUCGUGAUUCGGACUCUGCCGAAUCAGCGGACCGAGUCAGGGACAACGACGCGGAGCAAAGAAUAGGCAGAGAGUGCGAGCGACCGUUUUGAGUUACUGCAAUGCACUGAUUCAACUCGGUGGACAGAAAGGGGGGCCAUUUUAAUGGUGGAAAUUGUGCGAAAGCUGAACGAGUCUUGAGCGAAUCGAUGAGUUGAGCAAACGAGUUUCUGGUUCUAGCGAACAGAAAGGGAAGGUCCAAUUGCCGAUUUUGCGGGGGCCGAGGGACUUUGACAGAAGGCGACGAAGUGAACCGAACCUCGUCAUUCGGCGGCAUUGUAUUUGGUCUGAGAAAUGAGAACGGAGAGAGUUGUUUGGGUGCCGAGAUACUUGUGUGGAAAUAGGAGGGCAGGGUUUUAGGGAUGCAAUUGAAGAAAGGAAAAACCCUAGAGCUUAGCUUGGACCACACUGAAAACAGGGAGGGGUUGGGUGAAGAAGACGGAGUGAAAAAGAAUCGAGGAAGACGGAGAAUCUGGAGGACUCGUAUCGUUAACUUAUUGGUUUCGGAUCGGGGGUGGUUCGUGGGCUUGGGCCGGGUUGUUGUUGUCGGCCUUAGUAUUUAACCCAUAUUUCAUACCUACUUAUUUAUUUGGUAAUUUUUGUGUAUGCACAACCAAAAUAUUUAUCUCUAAACGCUCAAUUUCUAAGAACACUCCUAAUUAAAUGAUACAAAAUUAUAAAAUUUUCUUUUUUUUGGAAGGUAGUAAGGUUUCAUUCAAUUGUCAAAGGUUACAGACUCGAGCGAACAUACGUGGCCUUAUCAAAAUCUUGCCUCAGAAAACCCAGUAGAAAAAAUCUAAGACGAAAGAAAAAGAGUGUCACACACUCCAUAAAGGCUACGAACUAAACUCAAAACAAAACCAAAAUAACGUCAACUAGCAUAGACACAUUGUCCUUGGAGGACCCUCUUUAAGCCAAGCGUCUGAAGACACACUACCUAGAGCAAACUUAGCAUGGCUACAAUAAGACACAAACUGGGAACAAAGACAAUAAGAAAAUUCAACUUGAUCAUAUGCCAUACUGACAUCAAGCAUCACCACAACCUUUGGCUCCUUUUUUCGUCAUCAUUUGUUGACUGAAUGCAUGGGCUCAAAAGCAAGAGAUUAUCAGGAAUAGACCGGACAGGAAAAAAGGCAUUUUGAACACUAGAAAUCAUCUCAAGCAAAAUGAUCAUCAAGAGGUUAACUAGAAUCUUUGCACAAAAAUGGGGUCUUGAGCUCUAAGGAAUUGUCUUAGAGCUUGGAAUAUGUAGGGGUUCCCAAGCCCCAAUACAUUCCAUUUCAUUUGUCUCGUUGAAAUUGACGGGGUAGCCCUACUAACCCCGUCUCUAUAUCAUUCUCCAAUUGAACAGUGUUCAGCUCCGAUUGAUGCGGGUUCUCAUCACCCUUUUGGGCCUUAGAUACCAAUUAGGUUGCUCAAGCCUUAGCCUUCCACGAUAGAGUUGAUGCCCACUUUGAUUUGCGUUAACCAUUUGAGUUGCCCCACUAACUUGCUUCUCUUGCAGACCCGCUUUUUGAAGAGAGAAUGGGUUAAGGCCCAUAAUAUUAGAAUUAUGACAGCUUUUAACUUCAAUUAUAUUCUUUCAUUUCUCAACACUAGCCUCUUCGCACCCGCUUCUGCGCUUGCGAGAGGUUUGUUUGUUUUUUUAAUUAAAAUUUAUUUUAGAAUUAAAAAAGAUAAUGGGUAGUUGUGUUCCAUAAAAAUAGGAUCCAUUAUCUUAUUUUUCUUUUAAUUUUAAUUUUUUUAAUAUGAAAAAGUGUGAAUUUACCAUAUUAUCCUCAUUUAAUUAAUAAUUUCAAUUCUUAAUGUUUGCAUUAACUAAGGGCAUUUUUUGGUAUUUUGAAUGUUUCACCAUUCUCUGUCUUUUGCUUUAUAUAGAGAGAUUCAUUGGCGAGUUAAUUGCCAAUGAAUCAAUCCCCAAGAACUGCUCUUGAUUUAAAUUUCCUUGAAUGGCCUCAUUGCCUAAUUUAUGCCUCUUGUGAUGGUAAGCCAUAAUGUAGUCAUUAUUCUCAUUAAUGGUGCCCUACAGUAACUGAUCCCCUUCAUCUUCAUCCUUUUCUCGGUGACGAACUUCGCCGGCAAGGCCCAGUUCUUCGGAGCUUGGGGCUUUCAUCAACCAUCUCAACCGUAGUGAUCUUGGUGGUUCCAUCUCAUGUUCAUCUAACCAUUCUUUGACCUCUGCUUUGAGCCAUGAACCAAAGGGUUUGAAAUCCCCAUGGUUAACAACAGAAUCCCGAAGUGAGCACUGAUUCAAGACAUGAUCACAAAGGCCACAUAGAUAACAACAGUUUGGAAGCUUUUCGUAUUUAAUCAAAAAGAGGCGACUCCCAACCUUUGAGAAGGUAAAACGUAGACAUCAUUUCAGGGGUUGAGUAACAUCAAUAAUAACCUUUAUUAUGAGAAAACUUCCCAGGCAAGUACCUCAUUUUCCAGAAUCAAUCUCAAUAAACCUCCCCAGAAUAUCCCCAAUGAGUUGCCCAGUACUACUCUCCAUAUAUGCCAGAGGGACACCCUUCACUCUAAUCCACAAAGGUUGUGUAGUGAGAGGAUGACAGGACCCGAAUCAAAUUCCGCUUUGGAAUUCGAGUCAAACCCUGUGCGUGUCCGACACUUGGCAAAUGUCGAGCACGAAAGACCUAUUUGCCCUUUUUCUUAAAAUUUUGACUUUGACUUCUACCGAAAUUUCGGCAAAGUCUCCCCUAAAUUUCGUUCAAUCCAAAACUUAAACCUGUCAUAACGAGCAUAAUCGUCCAAACGACCAACAGCCAGCACUUCAAUAAACAUGCCAAAAGUUCCAUUCUCACUCUAGGGCAAUAUAUCAGAGCAAUUUUGAUAGCUUACGGAUCACUUAAUUGGUUUGCAUACCAACAUUUUUGAACCAGAAGGCGCGGAAGUCACGAUGGCCCGGUGGUGGGUGUCUUGUGCACACUACAGCCUGGGGGCGCAAAACAGUUGAAAGUGUGAGUGGACCAAAAAUAAAGGUUCAUAAAAUAUCUGAGAAUAUACUAACCCCUGGUGUAAAAAUAAAGAAAUAAAUCCAAACACGUAUUCUGCAUUUAAAGCAUACUAAACUCAAGGCAUUAUAUGUAAAUCAUAUUCGAACUCGAUACUUCUCGCAUAAAAACAAUGAAAUCAAAUACAGUUGAGUAAAACUAAAUAUCUAAACUAUCUUGGAAACAUAUGAAAGUCAACGCAGUUACAUAUUUAUAGAAAUAUAUGCAAUCGCUUUCAAGGGCAAUAAAACUUGCAUGAAAGCAUUGAAAUCCAAUUUGCAUAAAAGUGCUGAAAUCUAACCUGCAAUAAAGCAAUGUACUCAAAACUUGAAUUAAAGCACUGCAAUUAAUCAAAACUACCACUCGGAUGUACCCCUGUAAUUCCGUCAAUUCCCCUGGCAGGUCUCGACGACACACAGUCUAUCCGAGCCACAAAUCCUGGCAGGAUACAGGGGACUAUAGUCAGCCUGAUCCGCUGGCAGGUCUCGGUGACACAAAGUCAACUCGAGCCGCUCUAGCAGGAUUCAGGGGACCGUAGUCAGCCUGAUCCGCAAUCCUGGCAGGUCUCGGGGACACGAAGUCAGCAGAGCCGUAAAUCUUGGCAGGUCUCGGGACACCAAGUCUGCCGAGCAGCAAAUCCUGGCAGGUCUCGGGACACCAAGUCUGCCGAGCCGCAAAUCCUGGCACUCAUGAUCCGAGCGUCCUCGAAACUCGUGAGGCAAUGUCAAGUGCACUGACAGAACUGUAAAUAGACUGGAUGUCCGUAGACAUCGGUCCAUCUGAGGGUAAUCACCAUAACUGGGUACACACGGUGGUUAAAAAUAAAUAUUUUAGAAAAAUCUGAUAAAUCACUGUAUUUGGCAAGUCUGAAACUAAGCUGCUAUUUCCUCUGAUAUAAAUCUCAACUCUGCUUUCUGUCACUUUCUACCAUGUUCAACUAAGCAGCAUAGAAAUAAAGAUAUUUGACGGCACAAAUCAUGCUCGGAAAACAUUCGGUAAAACUUAUUCAAAAUCAAAUAAUGAAAUUUACUCAUAUAAACUCCUUUAUAAAAACUUAUUUAUAUAAAAUCAAUAUAAAAUCAUUUAUGUAAACUCAUUUAUAUAAAGCAUUUAUAUAACUCAUUUAUAUAAAAUCAUUUAUGAAAGAAAGUCCACUCACUCCUGGUCCGAGCUCGCUAGACCUUCUGACGGUCUCUCUUGCGGGCCUGUCUGGUCGCGGGUGCCUGGGUCGACAGAAAUGGUGGCAGGAUGAGGGAGAUCGGCGACCUUAAAGUUUCUGUGAGUUCCCGUCGCUUUUCUGUAAUUUUCGGCCAGCACAGGCCGUGCAGCCGGCGGGGAAGGGUCGGAAAAGAUAGGGGACUCGACGGCGGUUCCAUUGCCACCGGUCCCGUGGCAUGUGGUGCCUUGAGGCGGCGCCAGCAAGCUCUGGAAGGCGGCGGGCAGUUUUUUGCGCGAAAGGAGAGAGCUGACUGGUUUUUUAUAGAUUCAACUUCGAAAUAUUUACGGUUAUGCCACUGAGACUCUUUUGACCAUAACUUUCUCGUUACAACUCCGAUUCGGGCCCACUACGUGUCUAUGAACUCGUUUCACCAUGCUCUACGCAAUGGCCAAGCGGAAUUGUCAAAUUCCUUCUCGAUCAAAAAGUCACCUUUUUCUUAAUAAAAUAUUAUGAAGGCAAAAUUGUCUUUUCGCAAAAUAAAAUAUUCCUUAAUUAUGAAUUUUUGGUUUGGAAUAUUACAGAGGAACUUGAUGGGGGUCUUCAAAACCAUCAAUUUCUCCCAAGAUCAUAAGAGCGUUCUCAAAAUUCCAAGGACUACCUUUGAGCGCACAAUUUCUAUCACUUUCUGACAAAAAGGAGAACAAAAACCUCCCGUGCUCCAACUGGCAGAUCUCUACACAUGCUCUUGGUGACCAAAGCUUCUUCAUGGUCCUCAUAAAGAAAUGUACCUUAAAAUCCUUCGGGAUGAGAAGCCUCCCAACUAAAAAGAGACAUUGAGCUUGCCUAUUGUUUCCAAUAGGUCGCUCAAAUACUAUAGACCUGUUUUCAUCCUCAGUGAGAUUGAGUUGCGUGGUAAGUUUGUCCACAAACGCAUCCGUGGCAGCAAAGUGACAAUCAAGAAUCUUACCUAGCCAAGAGAAUAAAGCCUUCCACAGUGACAUGCACUCAACUACACUACCAGAAGAGUAAUCUUGGACUCUUUAUCACACUCUAGAAACUCUCACGACUCUAGGCGAGAAGGAGAGACUGGAUUGGAUGCUCACAUAUAUUAAUUAUAAAAUUUUCUUUGAGAACCUAAAAAUGUUUAUGAUGCUUCUUUCAUAAUGAUUUAGAGGAGCACGACCGCAUAUUGUAUGUUCCUUUCACUUACUCUUUAAAGUUUUGGCCCACAAACAUUUUCUCCAUCGUUUGAGAUGGAGUAAAAUGUUUGUAUCUUCUAUUUAUUAGUCUCUCUGCACGAGCUUCCGCGCAUGCGAGAGACUUUUUUUUUUUUAAAUUUAAAUUUAUUUUAGAAUUAAAAAAUAUAAUAGGUAGUUGUGUUCCAUAAAAAUAGGAUUCAUUAUUUUAAUUUUCUUUUAAUUUUAAUUUUUUAAAUAAGAAAAAGUGUGAAUUUACCAUAUUAUCCUCAUUUAAUUAAUAAUUUCAAUUCUUAAUGUUUGAAUUAACAAAGGGCAUUUUCUGGUAUUUUGAAUGUUUCACUAUUCUCUGCCUUUUGCUUUAUAUAUAUAGAUAUAUAUAGAUUUAUACAUUCUUUGCUAUCAAUAAUAUACACAAUAUACUUCCUAAAAAAAAAUUAAUAUACACAAUAUACAGAAUUUUACAAGAUAAUGCUUUUAAGUUACAACACAUUAUUUCUUUCUUUUUUUAGGUUAAAAAAA
rnacentral:lncRNA from 1 species